rnacentral:rRNA from 1 species
GAUCAUGGCUCAGGAUGAACGCUGGCGGCGUGCCUAACACAUGCAAGUCGAACGAAGCACUUUGAUUUGAUUCUUCGGAUGAAGAUCAUUGUGACUGAGUGGCGGACGGGUGAGUAACGCGUGGGUAACCUGCCUCAUACAGGCGAAUAACAGUUAGAAAUGACUGCUAAUACCGCAUAAGACCACGGAGUCGCAUGACUCAGUGGGAAAAACUCCGGUGGU